rnacentral:rRNA from 1 species
UACGUAGGGUGCAAGCGUUGUCCGGAAUUAUUGGGCGUAAAGAGCUCGUAGGCGGUUUGUCGCGUCUGCUGUGAAAUCCGGAGGCUCAACCUCCGGCCUGCAGUGGGUACGGGCAGACUAGAGUGCGGUAGGGGAGAUUGGAAUUCCUGGUGUAGCGGUGGAAUGCGCAGAUAUCAGGAGGAACACCGAUGGCGAAGGCAGAUCUCUGGGCCGUAACUGACGCUGAGGUGCGAAAGCGUGGGGAGCAAACAGG